rnacentral:lncRNA from 1 species
AAAGGUCAAUGAUGAGUUUUUGGGUUUUCCUUUGAAAAAAUGUAGAAUGAUGCAUGAAUGCAUUUUUUUUUAUUUUUUUUAUUUUUAUUAAUGCAAAACUCUUAGUUGUCGUGUUAUUCAUUGCAUGGAAUAUUUAAACAUCUUAUCAUUGUAAUCAAAAAAAGCCAACACAAGGUGGAUCACGAAAACCUCAUUUGUUCAUUUUUGGAAUCAACAAGUACAGGGAAAUUGAAAAAUACAAGGUUCUUGGAUUGGAAACAAACAUGUAAUAUUACAUAUCGUCCCUAAAAGGGACCCCCUGAG